rnacentral:sRNA from 1 species
UGCUAAUUUUUAUGUGAUUAAGAUUUAAUUGAUUUCGUAUAUAAAAUAUUAAAUUGUUUUACGAACUUAUUUGUUUAUAAUUUGGUAACAGAUAGAUAUUUGAAUAUUCAGUAUAUUUUGCUUCAGUUUAGGAAAUGUUUGAUGACCCGUCUUUAGAUCCAAUAAGCCCUAUAAUCUAGAUAUUAACCUGCAGUAUACCGCAGGUAGGCUUAUAUUUUAGUUAAACUAAAAACUUUUAAUGUAAAGAUGAUUUAAAAAUAUAUGAUAUUAUUUUAUUUGAUUUUAAAUGUAUAGUAAACUGUGAGUUGUAUAUGUUUUGUUGAUAUUAUCUAUAUUGUUUAGUGUUUAAGAUUAUACACUUGUAGUUUGAUUGUUAAUUUAAGAGUUUCACCUGUAGUAUACCAGCUUGUAUUAAUAUCGAUCUAAACUCGUCAAUUUUAGGAUUUUUCAGCUUGUAUUAAAAAUUGAAUCACAUCAUACACAUAAAAAAAAUCUAAUAUGUUAUUAAUUAUUGUAGUAUAUAAGAUUAUAAAUUUUCAAUAUAAUAUGUAUGAAAUUAAAUAUAAAUAUUUCAAAUUAUGACCCGUUACUCAGUAGAAAGUUUUCUUAAAUCUAUUUUCACCCGUUAUAAUAUUUUUUCAUGUAUUCAACAGUUUAUAUUCGUUUUUAAAAAUUCAAAGUAUGGCAUAUGCGAAAAAACUCUAUUUUUUUUUUAUAAUGAUGAUAUUAUUUUUUCGCAAAAAUAGAAUCAUAUAAAGAUGAGAAGUGAACUAUAAUAAUUAAUAAAAAUUAAUAUGAUAAUUUAGAUAUCAAAU